rnacentral:tRNA from 1 species
GCAUUGGUGGUUCAGUGGCAGAAUUCUCACCUUCCAUGAGGGAGACCCAGGUUCGAUUUCUGGCUAACACA